rnacentral:rRNA from 1 species
AACUGUAUGAAUCCAGCCACUCUACCCUGGAUCCUCCUAUUCAAUCUCUUCUGAUCUCAGAAGUUAAGCAGGUCAGGCCUAGAGAGCACUCCAGGAUGGGGGAGAGAAGACAUACGGUCU